CCGGAAGCCCGUUCAAACUGUAUAAGGGUGAUCAGCUAUCACGGAGAAGGCUUUAGCAAGUCGGGGCCAGUGGCGCAAUGGAUAACGCGUCUGACUACGGAUCAGAAGAUUCUAGAAGCCCAUGGAAACAAGGCGAUGACGGCGCUUGAGGGUGACCAGACCUCCUCAAUCAUUCCAUCAGCCACCCAGGACUCAACAGCAGAACCUCAGAGGACUCAGCUGAAAGAGGUUUUCACUCGAGCACUAACCACAGAGAAAUGGGAAGUGCCAUCCUGCUGUCAUACGCAGCCGAUGGCUGGGUAGGACUAAAUGCCCUUCUGUGGUGAGAUGAACCAAGACGGCAGAUGGGGGAAUAACAUCAGUGAGAGAGAGAUUACGAAUGGAUCCUUGUAUUGCAGAUCAAACUGGGUUGUCUCUUCUCAAACCACCCAGGCAGUUUCUGAAUGUCCCAAGAUAGGGGUAGGAGAAAAGAAAAAAAAGACAAAACAGGAGACGGUGGGUAAGAAAACCUAAAAGGCACAAUGAGGCAAAGGCCUAAGAUGGAGGCUGGCUUUGGGAUCUGAAAUCCGGCCACAAUCCUCCUUGUUUUACCUCAAGUCCAAGAAUUGUCAAAAAGAAAACCCAGAAGGGCUAUUCAUUCUAAAUUUUAAAAUCUUUUCUUCCUGGCCUACCAAGUCCUUGUGUUUUCUUUCUAGGCGCCCAUAAAUACAACCCCAUUACAGUUCUAUUUGGCUAAUAAUUUACAGAACAUUUAAAAUACCGGGUAGGUGAACAUCUCUUCAUGGCUUUUGUGUAAGGGCCUGAAGCGAAGAGAAAAACAACUGAUUGGAGAUUCCUAUCUGGCGCCUUCUCCAGGGAAACUGACAACCAGAGAAAUCUGUUGCUAGGAUUUCUAGGACAUCUGGAAAUUCCCUUUUUGUUCUUUCUCAACAAUAUAAAAUGGUAUAUUCGCAAA
rnacentral:lncRNA from 1 species